rnacentral:rRNA from 1 species
UACGUAGGGGGCUAGCGUUGUCCGGAAUCAUUGGGCGUAAAGCGCGUGUAGGCGGCCCGGUAAGUCCGCUGUGAAAGUCGGGGGCUCAACCCUCGGAUGCCGGUGGAUACUGUCGGGCUUGAGUACGGAAGAGGCGAGUGGAAUUCCUGGUGUAGCGGUGAAAUGCGCAGAUAUCAGGAGGAACACCGAUUGCGAAGGCAGCUCGCUGGGACGUAACUGACGCUGAGACGCGAAAGCGUGGGGAGCAGACAGG